rnacentral:rRNA from 15 species
GACACGACUCUCGACAAUGGAUAUCUUGGCUCUUGCAUCGAUGAAGAGCGCAGCGAAAUGCGAUACGUGGUGCGAAUUGCAGAAUCCCGCGAAC